CAGUGAUUACUUACCAUCUGCUACCUUGCAGGCAUUUCUUUCCUCCAACUGCCAGCCCUCAAUGGUUGCCAAGUUAAUGGGCUCUAAAGAAACAAGAGCACAAUACAACAAAACAUUUGACUUUUUCAGACUGAAUAACAGCCGAGGGAAUUCAUGUCGGCAUGCACAGCCAAAAACUGGUGUUUCAUCCAGCUUCUCGGUUCGUGAUUUGGACCUUGUGUUAUCCGCAGCUUGGAAGUUGUUGCAGUCCAGCAAAUGAACAUGCACACAAUUGAAACAUUCUAUUUGAAUAUGUACGAGUGUUUGAAUAUCAAGUUUGUAUAUGCAAGUGCUCAGUUGGUCAGCGUCUAGUACAGUGCCUGUCAUAAACAACACGACACUUCUGUUCACCAAUCAGCUUACAAAUUUGAGUGCUCUUACACCUUCUCCUUUCUUUUGAAAGUUAUCAUCCUCAGCCCAGUCAAUAAAGAAGUGCCCUUUGUGAAAAGGUUCUCCCAAGCUUUUCCCUGAUGAUUUUUUCGCACCAAGCCAAAGUUCGCAUCAAAUGAUAGAAUCUGCUGGGUUGACUGCAAAUAAAAUGUUUUUACAGAAAAUA